CCCUUAGACGUUCUGGGCCGCACGCGCGCUACACUGACCAGUGCAACAAGCAUCCGUCCUUGGCCGACAGGCCCGGGCAAUCUUUGAACGCUGGUCGUGAUGGGGAUAGACUUUUGCAAUUUUUGGUCUUCAACGAGGAAUUCCUAGAAAACGCAAGUCAUCAACUUGCAUUGAUUACGUCCCUGCCCUUUGUACACACCGCCCGUCGCACCUACCGAUUGAAUGGUCCGGUGAAGCCUCCGGAUUGGCGCGCACCUCGGUGCCGCCGAGAAGUUGGCUAAACCUUACCAUUUAGAGGAAGGUGAAGUCGUAACA
rnacentral:rRNA from 1 species